rnacentral:rRNA from 1 species
GACGAACGCUGGCGGCGUGCCUAAUACAUGCAAGUAGAACGCUGAAGGAGGAGCUUGCUUCUCUGGAUGAGUUGCGAACGGGUGAGUAACGCGUAGGUAACCUGCCUGGUAGCGGGGGAUAACUAUUGGAAACGAUAGCUAAUACCGCAUAAUAGUAGAUGUUGCAUGACAUUUGCUUAAAAGGUGCAAUUGCAUCACUACCAGAUGGACCUGCGUUGUAUUAGCUAGUUGGUGGGGUAACGGCUCACCAAGGCGACGAUACAUAGCCGACCUGAGAGGGUGAUCGGCCACACUGGGACUGAGACACGGCCCAGACUCCUACGGGAGGCAGCAGUAGGGAAUCUUCGGCAAUGGACGGAAGUCUGACCGAGCAACGCCGCGGGAGUGAAGAAGGGUUUCGGAUCGUAAAGCUCUGUUGUAAGAGAAGAACGAGUGUGAGAGUGGAAAGUUCACACUGUGACGGUAGCUUAACAGAAAGGGACGGCUAACUACGUG